rnacentral:rRNA from 1 species
CUUNGGUCAUUUAGAGGAAGUAAAAGUCGUAACAAGGUUUCCGUAGGUGAACCUGCGGAAGGAUCAUUAUUGAGUUUUGAAGUGGGCUUGAUGCUGGUGUCUUUACGAUGCAUGUGCUCAGCCCCGCUCUCAAAUCCACUCUACACCUGUGCACUUUCAAAGUUUGUAGUCCUCCGUAAUGGGAGCUGUAAGUCUUAAUUGACUUGCUGGGACUGCACUUUGCCCUUCAUCACAAACUAUAUGCAUUGUCUUGUAGAAUGUCUAGCCUCGUAGUGGGCGAAAUUUAAUACAACUUUCAACAACGGAUCUCUUGGCUCUCGCAUCGAUGAAGAACGCAGCGAAAUGCGAUAAGUAAUGUGAAUUGCAGAAUUCAGUGAAUCAUCGAAUCUUUGAACGCACCUUGCGCUCCUUGGUAUUCCGAGGAGCAUGCCUGUUUGAGUGUCGUGAAAUCAUCAACUCCCUUACUUUAUUGUGAGGUGGGCUUGGACUUGGGGAUUGCUGGUGUAAAUCAGCUUCUCUUGAAUGCAUUAGCUGGAAUUCAGUUGCAGCAUAUAUGCGGUGUGAUAAUGUCGUCACUGCGUAGCUUGUACUCUGUCUAGCUUCUAAUCGUCCUUCUCUAGGACAAUUUGAUCGUUUUGACCUCAGAUCAGGUAGGACUACCCGCUGAACUUAAGCAUAUCAAUAAGCGGAGGA